CGACUGAGCCACCCAAGCGCCCCAAUAUUUAUUUUUUUAAAGAGCAUAAAUUUCAACUCCUAGAGUUUAGGGCUGUGACUUAGUUCUGCCACUGCCAGAAUUAAUAAGUAAUUCAUCAACUCUUCCUGAGCCUCCGCUUCCCAGAUAAAAUCGUGGUUGUCACAUAAACCCCCUGCACUGUCACCACCACAUAUGUUGAAUAGUGGAAGAGCGCUGUUAGCUGGUAAGGGCCGGCAAGACACCACGUAGAUCUAACAUCUUGCUGUUUUCACAGUGAAGUAAGUGGAAUGAACAGGGCUCUCGUUUGAGGACAAAGGAAACACAGAAGCCAGAACCAGAGAUAACUUCUAGCUCACCUGGAACCGCUGUUACACUUCACUUCAUCACCCAGGACACGACAGACCGAAGCCACCUUCCUGAACAUUCGCUUACCCUCUGAGAGACUUCUGAUUAUGACCAUAAAGGUGGUAAAGAAAAAAAAAUGGACCAAUACCAAACUGGGAAAUCCUUACAGCAACUCCGAUGGUAACACUGACACCAGGUAAGUGUGCGAUCGACAUUCACUGACUGCUAACAGUGUGUGAAGCACAGGACACAGGAGAGCUGUCCAGGAAAACCUUCCAGGCAGCUCCAUGUCUGAGCCAGGCAACUGUUAAUGUCUUGCUUUACUAACACUUUAUGGUUUAAGUUAAAGCUCUUUCAUCUUCAAAACAGCUCUACAAAUCAGUGAGGGACAGGGGCUUUGGUUCCUUAACCUAGGAGAAAACUCAGGAAGCCGAAGGGACUCAUCUCAGGCAUCCCUGGGAUGGUUGGUCCCCUGGCUGAGGAAGUGAUCAGACACAAAGACACAGCACCACGGAACUGGAAACAAGCUUCCCCAUGAAAUCAGCUUUUCGAAUGGAAUGAGACAAGUAUCGGAAGCUCUAAACUGAGGCUUUGAUGCAUCUGUGCUGCCGGCAACAUCCACAAAUUAGCUCUUAGCCAGCCGAGGGGCUACCCUUUGCCUGUGAUGACGGAAGUUUGCAUCACUCACGUGAGUACCCAUAAGCAACAGGGCAGUUGAUGCUCUGUAUCCGUUGAUGGCCCUGUCUUUUCACCCAGUGAUAGCCCUGGCACCUUCAACAGCGACACAACUCGGAAACUCACUGUCUUGGUUAUGAUGAAGCCAAAGAAUCCGUUCUUUGGCAUAAGAAAAUAAACUCAACAUGACAUAAAACAAAGAAACAAUUUGUCAGCAGGUACACUGUUCUCCAUCACAGAGACAGCGAAGCUGAGAAGGGGCCGCGGGGCCAGAGGCAGACGGCUGAAGUACCUGGAAACUGCAGAAAACGAACAAGAGACAGCUAACCACAUUGGAAACCGAGAUGAGGCUUUUGCAAGAGUUGACGAUGGAGGCCUGAACCAGAGUGCUGGUGGUGAAGAUAAUAAGAAGCGAUCAUGUUUUUGGGUCUGUAUUUUCAAGGAAGCACCAACAGGAUAUACUGGUAGAUUUGAUACAGAAUGUGAGUGAUAUGAAGAAGUCAGGAACAUCCCAAGGUUUGGGGCAGGGGCCACCAGAAGAAUGUAGGACCAUUUCCUGAGAUAGGAAGACUAGAGACACAGUCUAUGGCAUUCCAAAUGGUGAAUGGAGAGGUUUUUGCUUUUUGUUUUAUUAAUAUGUUUGACAAACAGGUAAAGAAGUCAAACAGAUAAUGAGCAUGAAAAUCUGGAGUUCAAACACAAGAUCAAGGGUAAAGAUGUAACUGUGGGAGCAUCAGCAUUUGGGAUGAUGUCUAAGGUCAUGAACAGAGAUGAGGCCAUCCAGAGAACGAGUAUAGAGAACAGAAGUAGGAGGCAAAGAAGCCCAAGAAGAAAUGACUAGAAAAUAAGAGAAGGAAAGCAAGAAGAAAGAAAUCAACUAAGUUAAAUGCUCACGCUAGAUCAAAGAACAAGAACUGAUUACUGGAUUUACCAAUGUAAAGUUCAUUAACAUUCUUGGCAAGGGCUGUUCUGGUGGAGCUGGAAAUAAGAAAGGGCAAAAGCUGGAAGAGGGUGGGUUUAAGAGAAAAUGGAAGGACAGCAGACAGAGUCAGCUGGUACAGAAAACAUAUUCAUUCAAGUAGCUGUUUUAAAAGGAAACAGAGACCUGUAACAUUAGCUAGCCAAAGGAAACUUUUGUUUUUUGUUUUUGUUUUUUCAAGUUGGGAGAUACUCAGGGGGAAGCUGAGUGAAGAAUAUAUGUAAAUUCUCUGUACUACUUUUUUUAAAGUAAACUCUAUCCCCAACGUGGGGCUCAAACUCAUGACUGUGAGAUCAAGCAUCGCAUGCUUUACCGACUGAGCCAGCCAGGCACCGCACUCUACACUAUUUUUUAAGUUUAAAAUUACUUUAAAAUAAAACUCUUUUUAAAAGAUGGGAAGUAUUACUUCAUUUAUUCAAGAAAUACAUGCUGACCAACUACCAUGAUCAGGGUAGUGUUCUAUGUGCUAGGGCUCCCCAGUUAUCAAAAAAACCUGCCAAAUCCUUUCUCCUGUUUGGAUACUGGUAGAAAUAAUCAACAAAGAGGGAUGACCUGGUGAGGAAAUGGAACCCUGUGUGUGAGACUGGGCCCCUGCGCACACCCACCGUCACAGAGAGGGUCCUGUCGAUGGGUAGAGAUCAGGAAUACACCCACCAGACAACAGUGGGAGCACGAGGACGCCUCCCCUGACUGUCUUUUUCUUCAAUGACCAGGACACAAGGCUGUCAGUGGAGAGGGAGGGUGGGAAAUGGAUGUUAAGAGACGUCUGAGGGAAAAAGGAGUGGAACUGAGUGGUAUGGAAGAACAGACAGGAGUCUGUUUAGUAGGAUUGUGGGGCAGGCCUUAGGGCUCACCGGAGGUUAGCAGUCAUGAAUGUGAAGUCAGACCAGUGAGCAUGUCGUGCCUUUCUCUAGCCACAUUCAACCACUCAGGCACAAGCAUGAGGUAGGCACAAAGUUAGUUGAACCAGGGUUGGGGUUUUGCCAGGCAAACACAACAUAAGGCAGUGGAGGCUAUAGUUACAAAGGAAUAGUUAUAACAAUACUACAAAAUAAAUGUAGAGGUAUCUAGAGACAGAUCACAAUUAAAAUCUGUAAAGGACAAAAAAAAGAAAAAAAAAAAGAAAAAAAAAGUUGGUAGAACAAUCCUCAUUGGUGUCCUCAAACAUAAAGGGUGUAAUGAAGUUAAAAAAGAAAAUCAGGGCCAAACGGUCAAAAUAUUUAAUGCAUCAUUAGCAUCCUUAAGACUGUGAAAUUAUACUAUAAGCAAACAAGUUUCAAAUUAUUUAACCUAGCAUUUCCUAAAGAUACUUAACUAUGAAACACUGCUUUAGUGGGCAAUCCAUUAACAUCACGUGGAACACCAGUGUUCUGUAGAACACACUUUGGAAAACAGUGGUCUAAUGGAUGCCAAAGAGUCCAGUGCUGCUCUUUUAACCAGAUCUGUUGAGUCUACCCUGAAAGAUCAGCAAGUCUCAACACAGCCCUCUGGAUGGAAAACUAACAGAUAGAAAGCCAGAAAGAUAACACAGUGGUUAGAGUUUCUGGUGAAUAAAAAACAUCUUAUGACUAGUGAAAAACAAAGAACAUUCUAAAAAAUGCUCUAGGUGAAUGGGAUAUAGUUACCUCUUUCAAACCAACUUACACAUUAGUAGCCCUGAACAGUAAGUAACAAGUGAGAUGAGAUAGCUCCAAUUUAAUGUUGAUUUUUCUCGGAAUUAUUUCACUGAAAAAUAUCUUUAAAUAUUUAUAAAGGUUUCUUCUUUCCUCUCCCUUUAUUCACUUGUUCUCUCCUACCACCCUUCCUCACACUAUUAUUUUUCUUAAUCUAUGUAUUAGGGUUAUGUGUGUCUGUGUAUGUCAUUAUUUUAGAAAUGUGAAAGGAAAGCAAGCACUGCUAGGUCAAUGCAAAGUUCAUACAGCAAUUGGUACA